CGCAACCCCUAUCAUUAGUUGCCAUCAGGUCAAGCUGGGGACUCUAAUGAAACUGCCUACGCAAGUAGUGAGGAAGUGGGGAUGACGUCAAGUCAUCAUGGCCCUUACGGCCUGGGCUACACACGUGCUACAAUGGUCGGUACAAAGGGUUGCCAAGCCGCGAGGUGGAGCUAAUCCCAUAAAACCGAUCGUAGUCCGGAUCGCAGUCUGCAACUCGACUGCGUGAAGUCGGAAUCGCUAGUAAUCGUGAAUCAGAAUGUCACGGUGAAUACGUUCCCGGGCCUU
rnacentral:rRNA from 1 species